rnacentral:rRNA from 1 species
AGUGAACGCUGGCGGUAGGCCUAACACAUGCAAGUCGAACGGCAGCACAGUAAGAGCUUGCUCUUACGGGUGGCGAGUGGCGGACGGGUGAGGAAUACAUCGGAAUCUACUUUUUCGUGGGGGAUAACGUAGGGAAACUUACGCUAAUACCGCAUACGACCUACGUGUGAAAGCAGGGGAUCUUCGGACCUUGCGCGAUUGAAUGAGCCGAUGUCGGAUUAGCUAGUUGGCGGGGUAAAGGCCCACCAAGGCGACGAUCCGUAGCUGGUCUGAGAGGAUGAUCAGCCACACUGGAACUGAGACACGGUCCAGACUCCUACGGGAGGCAGCAGUGGGGAAUAUUGGACAAUGGGCGCAAGCCUGAUCCAGCCAUGCCGCGUGGGUGAAGAAGGCCUUCGGGUUGUAAAGCCCUUUUGUUGGGAAAGAAAAGCAGCAGGUUAAUACCCCGCUGUUCUGACGGUACCCAAAGAAUAAGCACCGGCUAACUUCGUG